CCUACGGGUGGCUGCAGUCGAGAAUCAUUCACAAUGGGGGAAACCCUGAUGGUGCGACGCCGCGUGGGGGAGUGGAGGUCUUCGGAUUGUAGACCCCUGUCAUGUGGGAGCAAAUUAAAAAGAUAGCACCACAAGAGGAAGAGACGGCUAACUCUGUGCCAGCAGCCGCGGUAAUACGGAGGGCUCAAGCGUUGUUCGGAAGCACUGGGCGUUAAGCGUGCGUAGGCUGUUUCGUAAGUCGUGUGUGAAAGGCGCGGGCUCAACCCGCGGACGGCACAUGAUACUGCGAGACUAGAGUAAUGGAGGGGGAACCGGAAGUCUCGGUGUAGCAGUGAAAUGCGUAGAUAUCGAGAGGAACACUCGUGGCGAAGGCGGGUUACUGGACAUUAACUGACGCUGAGGCACGAAGGCCAGGGGAGCGAAAGGGAUUAGAUACCCUUGUAGUC
rnacentral:rRNA from 1 species